rnacentral:piRNA from 1 species
UACGAAUGAUGUUACUGGAACUGCAAUGU